rnacentral:rRNA from 1 species
CCUACGGGUGACAGCAGUGGGGGAUAUUGGACAAUGGGGGAAACCCUGAUCCAGCGACGCCGCGUGAGUGAAGAAGUAUUUCGGUAUGUAAAACUCUAUCAGCAGGGAAGAAAGAAAUGACGGUACCUGAGUAAGAAGCCCCGGCUAACUACGUGCCAGCAGCCGCGGUAAUACGUAGGGGGCAAGCGUUAUCCGGAAUUACUGGUUGUAAAGGGAGCGUAGACGGUAAGGCAAGUCUGGCGUGAAAGGCGGGGACCCACCCCCCGGACUGCUCUGGAAACUGUGUGACUGGAGGGCAGGAGAGGCAGGCGGAAUUCCUAGUGUAGCGGUGAAAUGCGUAGAUAUUAGGAGGAACACCAGUGGCGAAGGCGGCCUGCUGGACUGUAACUGACGUUGAGGCUCGAAAGCGUGGGGAGCAAACAGGAUUAGAUACCCUGGUAGUC